rnacentral:rRNA from 1 species
AUUGAACGCUGGCGGCAGGCCUAACACAUGCAAGUCGAGCGGGGUUUUCGGACCUAGCGGCGGACGGGUGAGUAAUGCGUAGGAAGCUACCCGAUAGAGGGGGAUACCAGUUGGAAACGACUGUUAAUACCGCAUAAUGUCUACGGACCAAAGUGUGGGACCUUCGGGCCACAUGCUAUCGGAUGUGCCUAUGUGGGAUUAGCUGGUUGGUGAGGUAAUGGCUCACCAAGGCGACGAUCCCUGGCUGGUUUGAGAGGAUGAUCAGCCACACUGGAACUGAGACACGGUCCAGACUCCUACGGGAGGCAGCAGUGGGGAAUAUUGGACAAUGGGCGCAAGCCUGAUCCAGCCAUGCCGCGUGUGUGAAGAAGGCCUUCGGGUUGUAAAGCACUUUCAGUAAGGAGGAAGCGUUGAGUGUUAAUAGUACUCAGCGUUGACGUUACUUACAGAAGAAGCACCGGCUAACUCUGUGCCAGCAGCCGCCGUAAUAC